rnacentral:rRNA from 1 species
AACCUACCUUGAGGAGGGGGACAACAACUGGAAACGGUUGCUAAUACCCCAUAAGCUGAGGAGUAAAAGGAAUUAUAUUCUGCCUGAAGAUGGGCUUGCGUCUGAUUAGCUUGUUGGUGGGGUAAUUGCCUACCAAGGCGACGAUCAGUAGCUGGUCUGAGAGGAUGAUCAGCCACACUGGGACUGAGACACGGCCCAGACUUCUACGGAAGGCAGCAGUGAGGAAUUUUCCGCAAUGGGCGAAAGCCUGACGGAGCAAUGCCGCGUGGAG